GAUGAACGCUGGCGGCGUGCCUAACACAUGCAAGUCGAGCGAUGAAGUUUUCUUCGGAAAACGGAUUAGCGGCGGACGGGUGAGUAACACGUGGGCAACCUGCCUUAUAGAGGGGAAUAGCCUUCCGAAAGGAAGAUUAAUACCGCAUAACAUUAUCGGAUGGCAUCAUCUGAUAAUCAAAGGAGCAAUCCGCUAUAAGAUGGGCCCGCGUCGCAUUAGUUAGUUGGUGGGGUAAUGGCCUACCAAGACGACGAUGCGUAGCCGACCUGAGAGGGUGAUCGGCCACAUUGGGACUGAGACACGGCCCAGACUCCUACGGGAGGCAGCAGUGGGGAAUAUUGCACAAUGGGGGAAACCCUGAUGCAGCAACGCCGCGUGAGCGAUGAAGGUCUUCGGAUCGUAAAGCUCUGUCUUUAGGGAUGAUAAUGACAGUACCUAAGGAGGAAGGCCACGGCUAGCUACGUGCCAGCAGCCG
rnacentral:rRNA from 1 species